GGAGAGAUGCCAGAGCGGUUGAAUGGGCCGCACUCGAAAUGCGGUGUGCCGGAAACGUCACCUAGGGUUCGAAUCCCUAUCUCUCCGCCA
rnacentral:tRNA from 1 species